GUCAACAUAGAAAAUUAGCUUUUCCUUUCUGAGGUUAUUUGGGGUGAUUUUGGAAGUCAAAGGAAGAAAGGAACAAAGUGUAUUUCAAUAGAUUAUAUUGUGUUCACUGCCAUUAAGAGCUCUCUGGCUCCCCAGCUGUCACAGACACAUUACCAAAUUUUGAGUUGCAGGGAAAUCGUUGAGUUUGUUGGAUUAUCUGCUGGAGUGAAUAAUCUGAGAGCCCACAAAGCCAGACUCUGCUCGUGAGUCAUCCUGUAACCUGAGGCGACUGAGCUACCACCUCUUUGCCUCCGACUCCCCAGAUAAACUGAAGAAAAAUCAAAGAAAAUCGAUAUCCUUCCCAACCCUUCCCUUUUGCCAAGUCCUUUCAAAUAUUCAGGCAAAAGGUGGCAGGCAAGUGAUAACCACCCAGCGCUGGGAAAUAUUUCCAUUUCUGAUUUGCAGAGGAAAGCAACAAUUUUACCCCUCACUUUGAAGAGAGGGAGAGAAAUGAUGCUGCUGGAACUAAAAAGAUAUUUGUUUUAUUUUGUUAAUUGCAGUCCUUUUGAAAAAUGAUCCUGAACCUGCCGGUGAGGUGCUAAUUAAUGUGAGGAUGUGGUGCACCAUAUAAUAAAGGCUGAUGUUGAGGAAUGUGAAUGAAGUAGGCAUUGUUCCUGAGGUGCUGAUGUGUAAACAAGAUUGCUGCAGAGGUGGGCCACAGUAUAGACUGGAAUGCAAUCUAAUGAACAGAAAGCUCCUGGAACAUGUCAGAUGGCUUUGAGGAAAGCAAAAUGCUCCUUCUUUCAAGAAUGGUGAUCUCCCAUUCCAGAAACAGCCAAUUCCAGGUCAUGUUUCCCAGCUGUGGAGGGGUUAUCAGUUAUGAAGGCUAUUUCAGCACUUUGAAAAUUGAGUUGCAGAUGUCUUAA
rnacentral:lncRNA from 12 species